rnacentral:rRNA from 1 species
GAUGAACGCUGGCGGCGUGCCUAAUACAUGCAAGUCGAGCGAACAGAUGAGGAGCUUGCUCCUCUGACGUUAGCGGCGGACGGGUGGGUAACACGUGGAUAACCUACCUAUAAGACUGGGAUAACUUCGGGAGACCGGAGCUAAUACCGGAUAAUAUAUUGAACCGCAUGGUUCAAUAGUGAAAGAAGGUUUUGCUGUCACUUAUAGAUGGAUCCGCGCCGCAUUAGCUAGUUGGUAAGGUAACGGCUUACCAAGGCAACGAUGCGUAGCCGACCUGAGAGGGUGAUCGGCCACACUGGAACUGAGACACGCUCCAGACUCCUACGGGAGGCAGCAGUAGGGAAUCUUCCGAAAUGGGCGAAAGCCUGACGGAGCAACGCCGCGUGAGUGAUGAAGGUCUUCGGAUCGUAAAACUCUGUUAUUAGGGAAGAACAAAUGUGUAAGUAACUAUGCACGUCUUGACGGUACCGAAUCAGAAAACCACGGCUAACUACGU